rnacentral:rRNA from 1 species
UACAGAGGUCUCAAGCGUUGUUCGGAUUCAUUGGGCGUAAAGGGUGUGUAGGUGGCGCCGUAAGUCGGGUGUGAAAUUUCGGAGCUUAACUCCGAAACUGCAUUCGAUACUGCGGUGCUUGAGGACUGGAGAGGAGACUGGAAUUCAUGGUGUAGCAGUGAAAUGCGUAGAGAUCAUGAGGAACACCCGUGGCGAAGGCGGCUCUCUGGGACGGUACUGACGCUGAGACGCGAAAGCGUGGGGAGCGAACAGG